rnacentral:lncRNA from 1 species
UAAAAGGCGAUGCUGCAUUUUAAGAUGUGGUGGUACUAAAAAGCCCUGCCUGUUUCUCUAGCCCCUGGAUGUGACUGGUGGUGAACUUUCAGUGAUGCUCAGAGGGCGAAGGAUGCAGUUCAUAGGAUGCAGGCCAUGGGCUCGUGCCCUGUGCUGCCACAUGUGGUGGUGGUGCUUCUGAUGAGGAGGAAGGGGGACAUGCACGUGGUCCUGAGGAAGCCAGAUGCGCGUGUGUUCCCCUUCUGGUGUGGCAGGAUGAUGCUUUAAAGAUGUGAGCUGCAGCUCUUCCUCCUGACACUAAAAGAACAGGCUGACAAGCUGCUGUCAGGGAAAUGCUGCCUGACUCCCUUUCCCCCAAUAAUUUCCCUGCAGUGAAACUGCAGUGCAGGGGAAUCAAAUAGUGACAGAAAACAAGGGGGGAUAGAUGUUUUUUUUUUUCCUUUUUUUUUCUUUCUUUUUUUUUUUUUUUUUUUUUUUUUUUUCAAAUGUGCAUCUGUAUUGGGAGCCAUGUGCGCUCCAGUAAAUCUCACCAGUUCAAAGAAAUGUUUUUAGUGUUCACAUCCAACCUUUAAUGCUUCCCCCCCUCUGCUUAAGAAACAACAAAGCCUUGAAGAUGCUCCCAGCUUGCAUAGUAUUAAAAAGACAACUUGGCUGAAGUGGAAAACAGCCUCUCAUGUUUUCCUUUGGGUUACAUGUGAAGAAAGCCACUUUGCUACUCUUUUAUGUGGGGCUGUGAAAAGUCCCCUUUGCAAGGUGAGCUGUAAGUGGAGGGGGGGUGAAGGAGGAGGCAGAAGAGGGCUGGGAUUACAACACAUCCUCGUGGCAAGCAGUUUGUGCCCAGAGCUGCCUUGAAAUAACCUUGGUGGAUGCAUUACCAUUGAAACCUCCUGGCAGGCUACUUGCCUCGCUUGUUUUACUUAGGUAGCUGGCUGAUGUUCACUGAUGCUUUCCUUCCCCAUCUCUACAGACUGGAGAGGAUUUUCUGGGUGUGCAGAGGGCCAAGACGGCUGCAGCUUCCCAUCAGCUCCAUCCUGCAGGACUGGUGCCUCUCCUCAUCACCCAGUGCUGGGGUGGAUGUGUGCACGCAUGGCUCUGCCACUGUGUAAUGCUCACGGUAUCUUUCCCUCUAAGGUCUGCUGUGAAAAUCAGAUCAUUAAUAUCUGAUGUGAACCCAGACACUGUAAACACGAGCUCAAGAGAACAGCCCAUGAAGAGAUUAUUGACCCUUUCUUUGAGGAGCCUGCUGGCUAGGGCACAGAAGACGAGGGAAACAGCCUUGCUUCCUGAAUGGCAAGGUUAAAAUGAUGCUGUGCAUGUGUUCAUCAGCGAGGCCCAUCCAGCCCAGGUACUAAAUCAGGUAGGAAACCCAAAAAGAAAAGCAUGCUAAUGAACAAAGUCUUCCUUCCCCCUUCGGCGUCAGCUGCUGUUGCUCUGGUCGGUGAGAGGAAUUCUAGUUAUUUGUUCCUGGCUGCCGGACCUUAGCUUCUGGGCUGUUGUCUCUUAUUUGUUUCUGGUUGCCUGGCUCCUCGGAGUGACCUAUCCCUUCCUGUGUGUUUCAGUUCUCUGCUGUACAGACAAUGCUCUCCCCUCUGCCACCAAAAAAUGACAGUAGCACACCCCCAUAUGUCUGUGCUAAGGCUGCCUACCAGCUCCUUUCUAGUCAGGCUGCCCCUCUUCUUCACCUGUGUGCGCUAAUCCUCAGCUCUGCAGGCUUAACUGUUAAUUUUCCACUAGCAUAUGUCUUCUGGGAAGUCCAGAUGGAUGAGAUCUACUGUCCCACCUUUCUCUAGAGAAUUAUUUCACCAAAACAGUAUCACUGCUGCAGCACAUGACGUACCUGCUUUAAGCCCAGCUUGUGUAUGAAUUUUAUUCACCUUUGUCUUCCAUGCAGGCCUUCCCUUAACACAAGGUGUUCAAGGCCUUCAUGCUUAGAUGCUGCCUGCGUGCAUGUGUGCCUAUUGCAUGCUGUCCUCCUGUCAUCUAGUGCUGUAGCUCCUUCUCCCCUGCUUGCUAGGUCCCUGAUGAAGCCCUGCUGCCAGCCCCUUGUUUCUGCCUUGUUUUGUUCAUCUCUCUGAAUGUUGAUGUGGAUCCUGCCUGCCCAGCCCCUCCGUGCACCUGAGCGUGGCAGCCCUUCAAUCCCAGCUGGGAAGGUCCACUUCCAAGC